rnacentral:pre_miRNA from 1 species
UAGUAUAUUGAUUAAUGGUUAUUGUAAGAAGAUGAAAGUAGACACAGCAAUACAUCUCUUAGAAGAAAUGCCCCUGAAAGGUUUAACACCUACAGUUGAAACAUACAGUACUAUUUUGGAUGGCU